rnacentral:rRNA from 1 species
GAUGAACGCUAGCUACAGGCUUAACACAUGCAAGUCGAGGGGAAACGGCAUUGAGUGCUUGCACUCUUUGGUCGUCGACCGGCGCACGGGUGAGUAACGCGUAUCCAACCUUCCCAUUACUGUGGGAUAACCUGCCGAAAGGCAGACUAAUACCGCAUAGUCUUCGAUGACGGCAUCAGAUUUGAAGUAAAGAUUUAUCGGUAAUGGAUGGGGAUGCGUCUGAUUAGCUUGUUGGCGGGGUAACGGCCCACCAAGGCUACGAUCAGUAGGGGUUCUGAGAGGAAGGUCCCCCACAUUGGAACUGAGACACGGUCCAAACUCCUACGGGAGGCAGCAGUGAGGAAUAUUGGUCAAUGGACGGAAGUCUGAACCAGCCAAGUAGCGUGCAGGAUGACGGCCCUAUGGGUUGUAAACUGCUUUUGUAUGGGGAUAAAGUUAGGGACGUGUCCCUAUUUGCAGGUACCAUACGAAUAAGGACCGGCUAAUUCCGUG